AGUUUAGUUGAAAAAAAGACAAAUACUCAAUGAAGCAAACAAGUCAAAUCUUAUCCUUGAUACCUAGUUAAAGGAUAAAAAGUGAUUCCGACGAUGAGAAAAUAAUCAAAGUAAGUUAGGCUUAAUGGCAUAAUCCUACAGUUUGAACAGUAUCACAAUGAGAUCUCCUAUAGCCAAAAGCAGCACCGAUAGCAAUGGCGAGGAUGACAUAAGCCUAAAUAAGUAAGUAUAAAGCAAGAAAGAUAGAUGAUUGUAUUCGACUAUUCCCUCGAAGUCAUUAACUUACGUUGUAGGUCAUGGCAACCAACCUAAGUCACUUUAGUUAGUAAAAAACAAAGAAUAAAUUGAUUGAAAAUCGGAAAAUAGACAGAUCAUACGAAGCAAUGUCUAUUAUGAACAUACAUUAAGAAAUAUGAAAACACCAGUUGAACAGCGUACAAUGCACACAAACGAAAAGGUCGACCACUUUUUAGACUCUUACUAUGAUGGGUUAACAAACCCUCAGACUGCUGACCAGCAUAACCUCUUUGAAAUUCUGUUUCCUUUAAACUGGUAAAGCUGCGAAGUCUUUCAAAAAGAUAACCCAGAAUCGCAAUUGCUAACAGAGAGAGUAAAAAUUGGCUCAAAUUACCGAUAUGCCAACUUUUAAAUACUAUGCAUAAGCUGCAAGGUUAGAAAAUAACGAACGUUUAAAAAAUAUAAUAAAUCGGGAAAAAGUCAAUGAAAAUAAUUGUACCAACAGUUAUCUAGAACUUCAUAAACGAACGUACUUGUCAUAAUCGGUGUUAAAGGUCAUCUAAGCAUGUUAACGAGUGUUUUUGGAUAAUCAAAACAAAUACUGAAAUAAAAAAUAGAAAGAUCAUACCUUCAUUGAACAGUGUCGCAUCGUAGAAUUACCGCCGUGAUUCAUAGUGCCUACAGAAUUACUUUUUACUUUCGGCUGAGGUAGAACAAGGUUAAAACACAAAUAUAGUAAAGAAUGGAUGUACAGGGCAAAUAAAAACUUAUAAGCAAACGAAGGUAAAUUGCAGUCUAGCACUCAUCAUUUUAUGUAAAGACGCGGUGUUUAUGCUACAAUUAUGCAAGUAACGAUAUAUCAGCCGAUCCACUCCAGCACCACGUACACUAAUGGUAUAUUGCAUUGAAUAAAUUUACCGAAAAAGAGUGAACAUUAAUGGUAAGGAAAGAAGCAAACAGUAUGUAUAGAAAAUACGAAUAACUGAAAUGCAUAAGCAAGCACGUUACAGUAUUACAAAUCUUGACUUACAGGCAUUUCAAAGAAAAUUGGAUUGCAUAAAGAAAGGAUGAGUUAAAUAUUUCAAAGUAUAGUCUUCAUUUAGCAAAUACGAGUAAAUGUAUAAAAUAUUUUCAUUACAAAUUGAACUUCAUAAAUAUAUACUCACUUUUAUCCUUAAUCAGAUGUUUUAUUGAUUACUAAUUUUGUAUGUCAAGGAACUCAUAGCGGCAUAAAUAUUAAUUUAAUCAUUUACAGCAAGAUAUGCAAGCACAUGAGAUACACUUUGUUUACAACUCAGAACUUUUAGACACUAACGGUUGAAGUAGAAAAGUUGCAGAGUGAGAAUUGACAAUCGGAGGCUUCAUAUCUUUGCCAAGACCUUCAAUCUCCAAUUGAAUUUUCGACAAUAUUGAGUCCCUUACUUCUUGGGAUACCGGUUGACUGCGUUUUUUAUUUUGCACAUGAAUCUCAACAAUGUUUCCAUCUUGUAAAAAAUCUUUAACACUUUUAAGUUUUCUCUCGAUAUCAUUCACAUCAGUUCUCCAAGAAAACAGUACAUAUCGAGUACGAGUUUUAUUUUUGUGCUUCGAUUUUUCAGCUUCACGUAACCUAGAAGAUUGAUUUUCUCGUAAUUUGCUAAGUUCUGUGUAGCUGAUGAUAGAACAUAUAGGAUAUUUAUUGUUCUCGUUUGGAUCGGCCACCUUGUAAAGAACAGUUUCCGGUUUUGCGCGAACUCUAGCCAACGCUUCAACUAAAGAUGUCUUCGAGAGUUUCCCUUUAUUUUCCAGCCCCCGAAUAAAUAUUUCUUGAUACUUGAUCGAUUCAUCAAUUCGUCCAUCAAAGUACUUCUUUAUAGAAUUACUGAGUUUCGCACUUGCAAAUUGAGAAUUCAUAAAAGUCCGGCUCUGGCAUUUUCGAAAAACUGAAGUUAAGGAAUAGGAAAACUGAAUGAAAAGUUUUCGAUGAGGAAACUGUAAGUAACUAUUCAUUUCUCUCAGUAGCUACUGUGCAAGCCGUAUCGUAUAGUAAUAACUGUUUGGUCAAAAACUUCAAUCCAGCAAAUUACCAACAAAUAUAUGAAGAAUCGAAGAACGGAGGUAUUGCAGCUUGUACUAGAUUUUAAUGAAGUAAAACUCUAUAUAUGUUUUAUAUACAAGCUAACUAAAAUGAAGAGCAGUGUAUUUGAAUUCCUCUAGCGUGUACCAACCCCCAAUGAAAUGCGAAUUUCAUCAUAACGUUGUUUAACGUAUGCUUCAGUAGCUCACUAGUAAACAAUGUAAAUAAACGAAAUUAGUUACUCCAAGACUCCUGUAAGUGAAAAUGCUGAGAAAUGUGUUUUUGUUAUUAUGCUAAGUUAAUAUAUCUGUAACCUUUUUUGAAAAAGUCGUUUUUCAUGAAAUUUCAGGUGUUAUGCACGGCUUCAAAAGCUGGUAUCUAAUCAGAUAAGACGCACAUAGUUAUACUUAAUACGUGCAUACUUUACUAAGUAUAGAAGGCAAAAUUGUAAGUAGAUCAAACAUCUACCUAUUUUAAAUAAUUAUAUUCUUUAAAUAGACUUGGCAAAUCUUUCGAUGUAUUGGAUUAACUCAAAGACAAGGCUUUUCACGGUACAAGGCUAUUCGCUGUGAUAAUUCAUUGUUUGCUUCUUAAAUUUCCAGAGCCUUGGAUAAAAUUUAAUAAAACUGACUGAUGAUUUAAGAAUAAUUAACAAAAGAUCAGUAAUAAAGCUCAAAUAAAGAUUCGUCUGCCAAAAGACAAAACAACAACUUAGUCAAUAUUUUUAAU